rnacentral:rRNA from 1 species
AAGCGCACGCAGGCGGUCUGUCAAGUCGGAUGUGAAAUCCCCGGGCUCAACCUGGGAACUGCAUCCGAAACUGGCAGGCUAGAGUCUUGUAGAGGGGGGUAGAAUUCCAGGUGUAGCGGUGAAAUGCGUAGAGAUCUGGAGGAAUACCGGUGGCGAAGGCGGCCCCC